AGAAGCCGUACAAGUGCUCAUGGGAAGGCUGUGAAUGGCGGUUCGCAAGAAGCGACGAGUUGACAAGGCACUACCGCAAACAUACCGGCGCUAAGCCUUUCAAGUGCAAUCACUGCGACAGGUGUUUCUCUCGAUCUGAUCACUUGGCACUGCACAUGAAGAGGCACAUCUGAGGAGGAAGAGGAGGAGAAAGAGGCGGCAAAAUGGCGAGGUGGAGAAAGAGACAGAGAGAAAGUAGAGGGAGAGAAAGAGAGGGAUUAUGGGAAGGAGUCGGAUACCACUCAGGCCAUUCGCUCAUCCCACCAGAGAGAGGCCCCCCGUGAGGGAACAGGUCUUGAGGUUUGGUCGGCCACGUCUGACCAUGAGGACGUAAAUUUGGAGGUCUACAGAUCUGAGAAGGUGGUACGACAUCUUAUGUCACUGAAAGACAAUGUGCUUCAGUAGGUAUUUGCCUAAUACUUAAAACAUCAAUGACUCAAUUUAGUUACUACUAUUAUUGUGUUCCAGUGUCUCCAAGAUCCAUUUAAAGCUUUCGUCAAUUUUACAUAGAGUACAUCUUACACAGAUUGUCACAAACGGACAAGCUACUAUUGAACAUUGAUUUGAUUUACUGCACUGUGUGGGACGUCUCCCGAAUGCAUCUCCUUGAGACAUUUUGGAGAAUAUCAUAGUGAUAGGACGCCAAUCCAAAGAGAUGGAUUUUUUAUUUUUAUUUUUUUUUUUCAUUUUGAGUAAGGAUUAUCUUUCUGCUUCGAUCCCGCCAAUGCAUAGCCAAGAUCUAAAUUGGAAUGUCCAUCCAGAGAAAUCUGGAUUUCAAAGGCAAAAGGCGACCAAGUGGAAUCGCCUAUUGCUCAAAUGUGAACCUUACUAGGGGCUGUGGAGGAAACACUCUCACCUUCUUCGUAAACGGACAAAUCUCUCUCUUUGACAUCCCUCCCUGCCAACCAACUGCUGCGCAGCGACACUUUGUGACUUUUUAUAAAGGAAAAAAAAAAUUAAGGAAGAGAUCUUUUUGAAUGAUGAAUUUUUGCUUUUCUCCUGUGGAUGUGUACAAAUUAGAAAAAGAUAAAGAAAUAAAAAUGGACCAAAAAA